ACCAGUGUGGCAUAGUGGUUUGAGCAUUGGACUAUAACUCUGGAAACAAGGGUUUGAAUCCCCACUCAGUCA